UACGGAGGUGGCAAGCGUUGCUCGGAAUCAUUGGGCGUAAAGAGCGUGUAGGCGGUCCGGUAAGUCGGCUGUGAAAGUCCAGGGCUCAACCCUGGGAUGCCGGUCGAUACUGCCGGACUAGAGUUCGGAAGAGGCGAGUGGGAAUUCCCGGUGUAGCGGUGAAAUGCGCAGAUAUCGGGAGGAACACCUAUGGCGAAGGCAGCUCGCUGGGACGUUACUGACGCUGAGACGCGAAAGCGUGGGGAGCAAACAGG
rnacentral:rRNA from 1 species